rnacentral:rRNA from 1 species
UACGAAGGGGGCUAGCGUUGUUCGGAAUUACUGGGCGUAAAGCGCACGUAGGCGGAUUUGUUAGUCAGGGGUGAAAUCCCGGGGCUCAACCUCGGAACUGCCUUUGAUACUGCAGAUCUAGAGUCCGGAAGAGGUGAGUGGAAUUCCUAGUGUAGAGGUGAAAUUCGUAGAUAUUAGGAAGAACACCAGUGGCGAAGGCGGCUCACUGGUCCGGUACUGACGCUGAGGUGCGAAAGCGUGGGGAGCAAACACG